UUGUGCCCUUCACCUUGCAUGGGAAUAAGGGGGGUGAGGGGGGAUGCCCCUCGGCCCCUCCCAUUCUCAAAAAGUGUGAUAAUGAGAAAUCGAAAAAUGUUAGAGUAGAAUAUAGUGUUGUGUUGACUGUAUCGACUAACCAAGAGGAAGUAUGGUCGCCAUCCAGAGGUGGGGGAGAAGUCGAUGUUGGAAAGGAGCCAAGUGUUGUAACCAGUCGCCGUGUGCAGCAUGUGCUAAAAGGAGUUGUUGCAGUCCAGAAGACGUGAUUGGUGUGUGAUAAUCCAGAGGGACAUUAACGCUCGACUGAAUGUUGGAAAUGAGAGGCAGUAAAGGUGUUUGAGGAUGGAGUGGUGGUGGGUAGUGCCGUAACCAGGUUGGACUACUACAUGU
rnacentral:lncRNA from 1 species